UACGUAGGGUGCGAGCGUUGUCCGGAAUUAUUGGGCGUAAAGGGCUCGUAGGCGGUUUGUCGCGUCGGGAGUGAAAUCCACUGGCUUAACUGGUGGCUUGCUUUCGAUACGGGCAGACUGGAGGUAUGCAGGGGAGAACGGAAUUCCUGGUGAGCGGUGAAAUGCGCAGAUAUCAGGAGGAACACCGGUGGCGAAGGCGGUUCUCUGGGCAUGUCCUGACGCUGAGGAGCGAAAGUGUGGGGGAGCGAACAGG
rnacentral:rRNA from 1 species